AUGCAACAGCGAAAACUUCAGACUUCUUCACAGAAGCAGACCAUGAGAGAGUGAGCCCCAGAAACACGAUGAAGAAAAAUGGGCCCCAAAGAUCCCAAUCCCUCAAAGCCUUCCCGGGAUCUUCUCUAUACGGGUUAGGAAACACCACAAGCUUCAAAUUACUCACGAUCCUCGACAGAUCUCUCUUCACCGUAUCCCACACAGGUUCCGUCAACGUAUUCGGAGGCGACCCAAAUCCAGACACACCAAUAUUCGAAUGUGAGUUGCCAGGCGGUGGGGGCGGAGCCGCCGGUACAGAUGGGACAGACGACGGUUUCUGAGCUGACGGUGGCAAUGGAGGCAGAUUCGACUGAAUAAAUGGAGAGGAAGAGACAGGGAUACGUGGCGGGCUGGGCGGACGGGCCGGUAGGACAGUUGCCGGACCGGAUUGAACGCUGGCGUUGAUUAGGUUCUCGAUCUCGUCGAUGUCCGAUUGGGAGGAUGCGUGGAGAGGGAUUGUGUCGCUGUGCGACAUUUUUCGUUGUUCUGGUAAAAGUUUGUUUAAUCUUUUUUCUCGCGAAAGUGAUAGAAAAUUGAUGGAUCUUUUGAGGAUUGGAGUCGGGUAUCUGCAGAACGAAGAGCGAAAUCCCAGAGAAAAGAGGGUUUAAGUUAGGUUGAUU
rnacentral:misc_RNA from 1 species